AGGAUCUCCUUCUGGAGAUUCCUCUUCUGUGGAGUCUUUACUGUGAACCUAGAUUUUCAGAUACAGCUUCCGAAGACCACUUGUCUCAUUUACUUUAUGGCAGUUUUCAUGACAGAGAAACCCAAAGUAAAACACUACUUAUUCAUGGACUGAAGAUGAAUUUCCUGUUUGCUUGUGCAAGAAAGCAGAAAGCUGACAAGUGAGAAAAUCUAAAAAGAACAAAUUCUGCAUUACAGUGUAAAAACUGACGACAAACCCCUACCGUUCUGGUACUGUAGUGGCCUCAACGUGACUGCAUGAAAACCUGAUGGUACACGAGGAAACUGGACUAAAAUUAAAAUAGCGUUUUAACUUUAAAUUGAAAAAAAAAAAAAGAAUUGUAAAUUGUAAUAGUAGCAAAAUGUUCUGUGUAAGAUACACUUGUUUAAAGCAUUGUUUUGUACGGAGGCUGUAAAUCAAACUGAUUUUGACUGAAUCUUAAUAGGCAUACUAGUGAAUAAAUUUGAUACACUCUUAUGUAUUGUAUACCACAGAACUCAGAUAUAACCACAAGUAUCUAUUUUUUUAUUUAUAUUUAUUAAUUAUUAUUGUAUAUAUUGAUUAAAAUGCAUUACAUUUUUCAUAGUGAAGAGGUAGAAUUUUUUCACGCAUCAGUGAGACUUCCUAACAUCUCUUUAAAGUUUUAUUCACCUUUAGAUUUACCCUAAAGCAUGUUUCAAUUUCAUGUUGUUUGUGUAAGUAUCUUGACAUUGAGGUUAACUGCAGAGAUCCCACCUGAGACUAAAGGUUUUCCCCAGGAAAAAAGGUGUAAAUGAAAUAGUCAUUCUCUAGUUUUGU